rnacentral:misc_RNA from 1 species
UAAUCCCUCCGGGUAGCGGUUUUUGCACCACUGCCCGGGCCUUUGGCGCGGGGAAGUAUCCGCGGAGCUUCGGCACCAGGAGUUUUCCCCCGCUUAAACGCGGAGAAAGCUAGCCGGCGAUGCCCCAAAUGCAACGACUUGUAGAAUAUCUAGCGUCGUGAUGCUUCUGGAGCUCCCGGCCUCUGAACAAUAGGGGCCCCCAGGUCCCAGAU